GGACUACCGGGGUAUCUAAUCCUGUUUGCUCCCCACGCUUUCGCGCCUCAGCGUCAGUGUCGGUCCAGUGAGCCGCCUUCGCCACUGGUGUUCUUCCCAAUAUCUACGAAUUUCACCUCUACACUGGGAAUUCCACUCACCUCUCCCGAACUCAAGCCAUACAGUAUCAAGCGCAAUUCCUAGGUUGAGCCCAGGGCUUUCACGCCUAACUUGAUUGGCCGCCUACGCGCCCUUUACGCCCAGUAAUUCCGAACAACGCUAGCCCCCUUCGUAUUACCGCGGCUGCUGGCAC
rnacentral:rRNA from 1 species